GUUGCAGUGUUAAAGGGGCAAGUUCAGUUCAGGGUGGGGACCUUUUUGCUUUGCUCUGUGUUUAAAUCUGGAGUAUUUUGCACUGCACAACUGUUUGAACCCCCAGGCAUGCUGCAAUGAGAAAAGGAUGAAAUAGAGGAAGGCAGCGGAGAAGUAACAGAAAUUCAGCAGUAAAGUAGCAGAUGGGUUCCAGCAGAGUUCUGCUUUGAUUUAUGUCCAGCCAAGCACAUCAGGCCCAGGUUUGGGGCCCGGAGGAGUCCAAACCAGAAGCUGUCUGAGGAGCUCCUCACCAAGAGAGGAGCAGCUGAAUCACCAGAGCCACAAGUGAGCACUCCCUGCGCACCCACGCUGCUGAGGGAAAGAAACCUUUCACCCAAGCACCGCCACUGUUCAACAGAUGUGGUUCCCGCUCCAAAGUCAAAAAAAACACCCUUCAGUCCUCAUAACGUGACAGGAAAAAGACCCCUCACAGGCAAGAUGGGUGUUUGUUUUAGCUAGAGUGCUUCCCCUCAGUCUUGGCUGAUGCAGAUGGAGCCGCAGUGGUGACUGGCACCUGCAGGGAACUUCUGCCCUGGAAGAAGGGAAAAGGUUGUUUUCAUGGAAUGCAUCCCACAUCCCAGACUGAUCUUGUCAGUAACAUGCUGAAUGGCUCAAGGGAAUCAGAUAGAUCUUAGAACCCUUUUUUUUUUUUUUUUUUAAGUGUAAAUGUUUGCCUAUUAUUAAAAAAGCAGAGUUAAAUAUUUUCAACCACCUGUAAUGGUUUGGUAGCCAUCCAUGAACUUCCCCCUCAUUCCUAGAUUAAAAACUAAAAGCAGACCCAAAAGAUAGCUUUUGCUGCAGUAGGAUACUCUGAGCACUUACUUUCCUGGCCCACAGUAACCUCAGUCUGGGAAGGGGCUGCUGAUAUCCUUUGUAUAAGGAGUCAAGUCUCAGGCAGAAAGAAAAAUAAUGGUGGCUUGGGCCCCCAAAAUUAUUGUGCUAUUUCCUGUUCCAGUGGUAGAAAGUACCUCUAGAGAGGCAAGAAGCAAAAAAUAUGUUUCUUACAGAGCAGAGUACACUCUUUUUGUAUUAAAAUAGAGUCCUAUCACUCAUCAACUUUCAAUUUGACCCAAAGCACAGUUUGAUUUUCAAUUUCUUCCUGUGUCUUCCAUCGCCAUAUCUCUGGUUGUUCAUACUGAAUUAGCUCUUGAAUGCUAAUGUACUCAGGGUGACAUUUUAAUGACAAUCGGAUACACUGCAUCAUAUCGGGUUGAAAGUACCCCACCAGCCCUGGUGCCUCUAGAUGAAACAGAGCCAGAAAGGACUUUUCCAAGCCUCAUCUUGAGUCCUCUACGCUUUGCAACUAAAGACAGCUCAUAAAUGAAGAUUGGGCCUUGGCAACUCUCCGUUCAUUAUUGACAAAUUAAGAGCUUCAUAAUUCCACCUCUUCUUUUGUUCUUUGUGCACAGACACACACAUACACACUUGGUGACUUGCGGUUUUUUCAUCUUGACAAAUCCUUCCUCCGGCUUCCCUCAGUUUUCAACAGCACAACAGGGAGUCAAUCAGGAAAGCUUUACAAGGCCGAUAAAACGGAUUUGUUUAACUGGUUUCCAGUUCAGUCCAGAGUAUUGUGAGGAAAUACACAAAGGCAGUGGGAAAUAAUUAUCUUUCUUCUGCAAGACCUCUUGGCCACCAUUAUCAAGUACAAAUGUGCAUAAAAUGUGGGCAUUUUCAAAUGUGUGCACCAACCUGGGUGCUUCAGAGAUCACAGCUGCUCCCUGAAGGUCACAAGGUAGGGAUGGACUCAUUCAGAUGAAACUGAAGUUUCGUCAUGCUUUCAUACCUGUAAUUAAUUUACCAGAAAGCAGUAAGCAUUGUCUUUAUAAAUGGAUUCUGAAGACCUGUAUCAGCUGUGGUUUGCAGCAACAUUUUGGGUCUCGAGGCCACCACCUGUGACCAGUCUGCAGCUGAAACCAUCCUGAUUACACAAACUGUACCAGCGGGGUAGGAGAUAAGUGCGAGCAAAGCAGGAGAACAUCAAGAAGGACUUCUAACCCAGUGCCCCACUGCUCAGGAAGGCUCUCUCAGGCUGACAGGGCUCAGCUGUCUCCCAUUUCAAAGCAAGCUGGGCUGGCACUACUUCAGAGGUCUCCUUCUGCCAUUGUGCAGCACAGACAGGACUGUCCUGCAUGGCCAUCUGAGGGAAGGGGUUGUUUUAUUUAUCAGAUGGGAGGAAAAAAUAAAGUUACUGAAUUGUUUUUCAUUUGGGGUGAAGAGGAAGAAAAGAGCUCUCUUAUUUUUAAUAUCCAAAGUGCAUUCAGAGUGAUUUGCUUUCAAAGGGAGAAAAGGAAGUGUGGAAGCUGAGCUUCUACCACGACUGAGAGUUUCUCACACAUGCACGGAGAUUUUUGGUCAAAAAUCAAGUUCCUCAUGAAUCAAAACCAGAAUUCAACUGUGUACACAAAACAGCCCCAGGAGACCAGGGCUGAGCCAGGUUCUCAAAGCUGAUCUCUGCACGCAGGAGCACAAGGGUGGGGGCAGGAGGGUCUCUGGGGCACGUUCCCUGUGGGACAGGCUACGGGGCCUUCUAUUCACAGAAAAGGGGACCAAGCAUGACAGCUUGAGAGGCUGUUCCUGGGAGAUGAGGACAGCCAUCAUGAGGGCAUGUUCCUGUGAGACAGGAGAUGCUGGCUCAAAGCAGCCUGGUUAAAUGAGGCGAGUAAUGCAGAGGGGUCAUCCACAUCCCACUGAGUGCCAUCACCUGGUCGCAAGGGCAAGGGAAGGAUCGCCUCCUCCAUUUUUUCAAUCCAGCCCUUCAUUGCUAUGGCUUCUCUCACCACUCAAUGAGGCACUGUGUUUCAGGAAGAAAACAAAAUAUUUGUUUGACCCAAAAUGAACUUCAGGGCUUGAAAUUCACCAAUAAGCCAUGACAAAAAAUGUGUUUUUUCAGUCAGUCCCUCCAAUUUAUUUUCACAUUUAUGUGUUGACAGCCAAACAAAAAAAUAAGUAUUCACAUAAUGACAUGCUGUCUUCC
ensembl:lncRNA